CCUACGGGCGGCAGCAGUAGGGAAUUUUGCGCAAUGGGCGAAAGCCUGACGCAGCAACACCGCGUGAAUGUUAAGCCCUUCGGGGUGUAAAGUUCUGUCAAUAGGGACGAAUUUUGACUGUACCUAUAAAGGAAGCACCGGCUAACUCCGUGCCAGCAGCCGCGGUAAUACGGGGGGUGCAAGCGUUGUCCGGAAUCAUUGGGCGUAAAGCGUUCGUAGGCGGCAAGGUAAGUCCGAAGUGAAAGCCCGGGGCCCAACCCCGGGACUGCUUUGGAAACUGUGAAGCUGGAGUGCGGGAGGGGCAGGCGGAAUUCCUGGUGUAGCGGUGAAAUGCGUAGAUAUCAGGAGGAACACCGGCGGCGAAGGCGGCCUGCUGGACCGUAACUGACGUUGAGGCUCGAAAGCGUGGGGAGCAAACAGGAUUAGAUACCCGGGUAGUC
rnacentral:rRNA from 1 species